rnacentral:rRNA from 1 species
CCUACGGGAGGCAGCAGUGGGGAAUAUUGCACAAUGGGCGCAAGCCUGAUGCAGCGACGCCGCGUGGGGGAUGACGGCCUUCGGGUUGUAAACCUCUUUCAGUAUCGGCGAAGCUCCAGGGUUUUCUUUGGGGUGACGGUAGGUACAGAAGAAGCACCGGCCAACUACGUGCCAGCAGCCGCGGUAAU